UACGGGGGGGGCAAGCGUUGUUCGGAAUUACUGGGCGUAAAGGGCUCGUAGGCGGCCAACUAAGUCAUACGUGAAAUCCCUCGGCUUAACCGGGGAACUGCGUCUGAUACUGGAUGGCUUGAGUUCGGGAGAGGGAUGCGGAAUUCCAGGUGUAGCGGUGAAAUGCGCAGAUAUCAGGAGGAACACCGAUGGCGAAGGCAGGUCUCUGGGCCACUACUGACGCUGAGAAGCGAAAGCAUGGGGAGCGAACAGG
rnacentral:rRNA from 1 species